GACGAACGCUGGCGGCGUGCUUAACACAUGCAAGUCGAACGGAAAGGCCCUGCUUGCAGGGUACUCGAGUGGCGAACGGGUGAGUAACACGUGGGUGAUCUGCCCUGCACUUCGGGAUAAGCUUGGGAAACUGGGUCUAAUACCGGAUAGGACCGCACUUUAGUGUGUGUGGUGGAAAGUUUUUUCGGUGUAGGAUGAGCUCGCGGCCUAUCAGCUUGUUGGUGGGGUAAUGGCCUACCAAGGCGGCGAC
rnacentral:rRNA from 1 species